rnacentral:lncRNA from 1 species
CAAGAAGUUACGUCGUUCUUACAAUUUUUCUGAUUUUUUAUAGAAAAAGUGAUAUUUCUGUGCACCCUUAGAGUUUAUUCUGUUCCUUAAGGCCUGUUUAAUCUCCUGAAAAUGAGUGUUAAAUAAUGCAAACCAAGCACAUAAAGACCUCUAAAAGAAGAGAGCUGAUCACCCUUUAUAUAACUCUGAUGUUUGGCCAUAAAUUCUUGCUGCUGAGAUUGAUUUUACAUUAUCCAGUCAAAAGGCAUUAUUAAUAAUACAAACCAGUACCAAAAAGAAGAGACCUGGGUGACCUCUCGUAUAAUCCUGAUGUUUGGCCAUCAUAUUCUAGUUUACGAGUUGUUCUUCCAUUAUGUGGUUAAAGAUUUUGUACAACCAAUCGAUAGAUGUAUACAAUAUAUACCAGGGCAGUACAUUUAUCUUUUUCAUGACUAUUACCAACAAUGCUUCAGGAAGUAUAUUUAAAAUUCUAUUUCUUUUGAGUAAAAACUUAUAUUUGUACUGGUUUUUAGUGUUUAUCAGUGGAUUUCAUAAUUUAUAAAUUUAAUUAAGUAGGAAAAAUUUUCCAGUGAGUCUCCGAGUUACAUUUUUAUGGUUUCUUAUUAUCAGAAACAAAAUCAGACCGUUUAUUUUUAAUUUGGAUCAAUUUUUGGCUUUAGGUCAUUUUUUUUUCUUUUUGGUAUAAUAUCAUCCACCUAGAACUUCACUUGAUGAAGUACAUCAAUAUGAUUUUUUUUUCAUUUGAUGCUUUUUUUAAAUUUGUGAUAGUUUUUUUUUGUUUACUUAGCUUGCCUCCCAUACUUUCUUGAUUGUGGAAAUAAUAAUACAAUUCAUUGAUUCUAUAAAAUGUUCCAUACAUUUUCUUGUAUUUGUAUUGUUUUUCUUAUGGUGUCAUUCUCCUAAUUCAUUUUUGCUUGUGUAAUUCCUGGUACCUACAGAAUUUUAGUUUUGAUGGUUUUAUUUUCAUGUCAUUUUUUUUAGACCAUAUACCAUGAAUUGCUGUAACUUUACGAAUUCUGUUGGUUUAGUUUGCUUGUAUUUAAAUAUAAUUUAAACACUCCAUAUAACACACUUAAAAAUCUUAAAAUAAGGACUAAUUUCUGACCAAUUCCUGGCGCAUUCGCCAUUUAUUUAAAAACAUUGCCUUUCCUAGUAUUUUUCCAGUGAAUUUUCCUGAGUAACAUCGACUUCAGAGCAUCAUAACUAGCCUCCCCUAAGAGGAGGAGGCCCGGGUCACCCCCUAACCCUGAUGUUCGGCCAUCGAUGACCUAUGUAGCAUGCAUAGGUACCCAAGGGAGUCACCACCCUCUGGUUUACGAGCUAGGUGUUCUAACGCUAGAGGCUUCGGCCGGAUACGACCUGGCACCCAAGCUACGAGACUUCUUCGUGCACGUAUCCCGUGACGUCUCGACAGUAGAGGGGACGGGAUAUCGGACACAUUGAAGAUGAUGAGGGGGGUCCGCCUGUAGGGGGUCCCGGUGGAUGUCCGCUCGAUGGGUGACGAGGGUGACCCGAGACGAGGCUGCUUAGCUGGGAUGGGAACUGACUGGCGAGGCUUAAUCAUCGGACAAGGGUUAAAUCUGAUUAAGGGGGGGGCGAACUUAUAUGCUCUGGAGGAUUAUUCAUUAUGUGCUUGAUGUUAAAUUUUGACAAUAUCUUUGUUCAAUCUUCUAGUUUUUAUUGACUACAUACUUCUUUAUUUAUUACACAAUUUUUGUCAAGGCAUAUUUCACCAAUUCUGUUGCCUGUAAUUAAUCAGUGCUGUAAACUCUUCCAAUGAUUAUCCUUUUUUGUGUCAUUCUUCUGAGAUUUUCCUAAGACUUAUUUUAACAUUUCUAUUGCCUGUAUAGAAUUAUAGUUUUUUUAUUAAUUUUCAUGCCAUUAUUUUUCCAAUUCUCUCCUUUUCAUGCCAUUUUUUCAAUGC